GGAACCAAUAUAAUGGCAGUGUCUGGUGGUCUGCCCGGCCACUGGAUGCUGUACAAACAUGACCCAGUAGCAGUCCCAGCUCGAGUUCUCAUGGCCUUUUGAGAGACGACAUUGAUGCUUGUGGAGGUCACAGUUAGGAAAGAGCGGGCUGGGAUUUGAACCCAGGGCUGACCAAUCCCAAGCAUAGCCAAGGCCUCCUUACCUGGCUCCCUGAGAAACUGGGGAGCAGAGGCCCGCUCCUGGCUGGGAGCGUUUGCCGAGCAGCUUGUGCUGAGCCAAGUGGCACGGACAAUCUGCCACCCAAGGGUCUUCACCCUCCCGCUCCCCUCCCGCAGAAGUGCUGGCGGAAGGUGUGGGCUCUGCUGUAUGCAGGAGGCCCAUCAGGCGUGGCACGGCUGGAGAGCUGGGAGGUCCGGGAUGGUGGCCUGGGAGCAGCGGGUGACAGGUCGGCAGGGCCUGGCCGGCGAGGGGAGCGACGGGUCAUCCGCCUGGCUGACUGUGUGUCCGUGCUGCCGGCUGACGGCGAGAGCUGCCCCCGGGACACCGGUGCCUUCCUGCUCACCACCACCGAGCGAAGCCAUCUACUGGCUGCUCAGCACCGCCAGGCCUGGAUGGGCCCCAUCUGCCAGCUGGCCUUCCCGGGGACAGGGGAGGCCUCCUCAGGAUCCACAGAUGCCCAGUCUCCCAAGAGGGGCCUGGUCCCCAUGGAGGAAAACUCCAUCUACUCCUCCUGGCAGGAAGUGGGCGAGUUUCCCGUGGUGGUGCAGAGGACUGAGGCCGCCACCCGCUGCCAGCUGAAGGGGCCGGCCCUGCUGGUGCUGGGCCCAGACGCCAUCCAGCUGAGGGAGGCCAAGGGCACCCAGGCCCUCUACAGCUGGCCCUACCACUUCCUGCGCAAGUUCGGCUCCGACAAGAUACUUCUGGGAACCCCAGGCAUCAGUCUCCUCAUCUGUAAAGGAGAGAGAACCGAUGACGUAUCAGGCAUAAUCCUUGAUGAGAGUUUGCUGCGUGCCUACUCAGUGCCAGGCGCUGGGGGACACGGCCGUGUUCAGGACAGCCUUGGUCCUGUUCUCCGGGAGCCGACAUUCCAGGAGGAGAGAAGUUUCCUGAAGACUUCCAUGCUGCGUUCCCUCCUCUGCUCCUGCCCCUGGCGCCAUCCUAGGAGCCAGCCAUGCACGCAAGCAUCAUGCCUCCAGGGCUCUGACUGCCCAGCCCCUCACCGCAACUCUACCUCAGCUGCACACACCCUUGGCACAUCCUCAACCUCAUUUUCAUGACGGACACACAAUUUUUGCUCUCUCCUGUCCAAGCCUCAUCCUCUGGCUGCCACCUCCUUCCAGCUCACUUCCUUUAGCGUGGCCAGUACUGCCCCUGCCUAGGCAUGUCGACCUGCAGGGACCCUUUUCUGGCUCUUCGAGGCCUCUGCCCACCAUCCCCUCUUUGUUCUCCAUAGUCCCUUCCCCCUGUUGUCUCUUGUUUCAUCUUACUGGUCUGGCAAAGUCCCCGGCCUUGGGCGAGCCCAGACCUCCUCAGUGCCUGCACACAGCUGCCCACAGCCAGAGAAAUCCAUUUAAGCAGACUGCCUGCAUCCUUCUUAACAGUGCAAGGCAGGCACUCCCUGCCACAAGAGACCCUGUUCCCUAGUAGGGCAGCUUUUCUCCUCCCCAGAACCUCCUGUCUAUCCCCACCCAGUGUCUCCUCACAGGCAUAUUGGGGAAACAGGUCAGGCUCUCCCACCAUAUCUGCAAGUGUACUGGCAUCCAUCUGUCUUCUUCCUACCCCUACAGUAGAAACAGUGUCUGUCCCCAGCUGUGCUCUGAUCCCGGCUCCUCUCACCUCAGAGCUUGGAACAUUGAGCUGUCCCCACUCUCUCCUGCGCCCAUUCAUCUUACCAGCAGCUUUUCCAGCCACACGCAAACAUGCUCUGUAAUUUCACAUUUUAAACCUUCCCUUGACCUCACAUUCCUCUUCGGCCACCUCCCUGUUUCUCUGUUCCUCUUCACAGCAAAAACUGUUCAAAAGAGUUGUUGAUUACUUUCAUUUCCACUUUCUCACCCCCAUUCUCCCCUCAAUUAACUCUCCUUCAUCCCCAUGAUGCCAUUAUGUGGCUUUUAGUAGAGUCACCAACCUUAUUCUCCAAAACAAAAGCAACAAGGACUUUGACUUCUCAGCAGCACUCAGCUCUGGUUCUUGAAACACCCCCGUUACUUGCUAUUCCUCC
rnacentral:sRNA from 1 species